rnacentral:tRNA from 1 species
GGAAGGGUGCCGGAGUGGCCGAUCGGGCACGCCUGGAAAGCGUGUGUGGAGGAGACUUCACCGCGGGUUCGAAUCCCGCCCCUUCCGCCA